CUACCAUUGCGAAUGGGCAAACAGAUCAUUUCAACAUCAAAUAUUUUAAAUAGGCAACUAAUGACUACAGUUGUACUUCGCCAUUGUGCCCCUAUAAUAAUAGUGAAGACUAAUGAUCAUGGUCAUACUUCACCAUAGUGGCCCCUAUUAUUAAUCGCGAAUCCACUCUCAUAAGAGAAAACACAGUACCAUUCACAGGAAGUGG
rnacentral:lncRNA from 1 species